GAGAGAAGGCGCCGCCUGGUGGACAGAGAGCGCGGUGCGGGCGGGGGAGCGCGGGGGGUGUCACAGGUUCUGGGGACACAGAGAGACCCCGAGGGGUCACAGGACAUGGCGACAGAGAGAACCUGGCAGGGGUCUCAGCUCACAGGGGUCUCAGGGGGUCGCAGGCCUUCAGGACACAAAGAGCCUGGGAUGGGUCACAGGCCCUGGGGGGGGGUCACAGGCCUUGGGGACAGAGAGAACCCAGUGGACUCAUCCCAUGACUCGGAAAAGGGCUGUCAUGGGGCUGAGAUCACCCCGGGAGCAGCGGCGGAGGUGGAGGCACAGGCUGACACUGCAGUUUUCCGGGCUGCUGGCGAAGAUUCCGGCUGUUUCCAUGGCACGGGGAGGCUCCCUGCAGCUCUACCUGACACCUCACCCGUGCCAUGGAAAAUGGGACGGGGUUUGAGCCUGUUGGCAGCGGAGGGGAGCGUCCAGGCAGGAGGAGCGAGUUUUCCAGGUGUGCACCUGGCUCUGACUCCAGGGAGGGAUGUUUGGAUCAACCACUAAACCAGCUCCGCUCGUUUCCACGGCGUUCCCAGCUCAGGGUUCACUUAUCACACAAACAGGCAAAGUCCUCUGGCUUUUACCACUACAUUUGACAUCCCUCAACCCUGCUUCCCAGUGCAUUUGGGAAUGACCAGAAUUAGGAAGAAGGUGACCAACCCUCUCUGCUCUCACACCUGCCCAGCUCUGAGCAGCUCCAAGCCAAGAGGUCUAUGUUAGCCCAGGGAGCUAGUGGAGUCCCCAUCCCUGGAGGUGUUCAAGGAAUGACUGGAUGUGGCACUCAGUGCUCUGGUCUAGUUGACAAGGGGGUGAUCACAGGUUGGACUGUUGGACUUGAUGAUCUUGGAGGCCUUCUCCACCCUCAGUGAUUCUGUGAUUCAGUGUUCAGCUGCCAGCUCCAGCCGGCAGAGCCACGAGGGCCUGGCACUCACCUG